GCAUGCAUGUUUAUUUUUGUGUUUGUGUGCUUGACUUUAUUUUAUUUUGUAUGUGGAGCAUUCAUUUUAGGAAAAAUGAAAAACACAAAAACAUUGAAAAUUUGAAAAAGACAAAAAUAAUUGGUUAUGGAAAUUUCUACAGCAUGACACAUGACUUAGAGCUUGCACGUAUCAUGUAGGAGCUAAAAUUGAUAAGCUGUUAAAUAAUUUUCAUUGCUUGGUUACGUUUAGUUGGAUUAAUAUGUAUAAGUGUCUUCAUGUGCCAUCUGCACUGCACACACCAUGAAUUUGUUAGUGGGACACUAUUGUGUGUGUGAGAUUUGGGAUGGCUGUCACAUGUUGAUGAGGUGACUUUGAACAUGAAUUGACCAAUUUUCGUAGACCUUAACCCAAAAAUUUCCCCCAAUUUUAAAUGCUCAUAUCUUAAUGUUCUUCUUCGGGGCCUAUUUGACACGAGCAAUUAAGCCUGCAGGGUCUCUGAAAACCUGGUGCCUAUGCUGAACUGACAUGGGUUAAUUGGCCUAAAGCUCGCUAUAGGGGUCAUCUUAGUCACCUAAUAGAGAAGAACUUGCACUUAAGAUGAAAAAUUAAUGAGCUUAAGAAAUGAGAAACACAUGAAAAAAUAUGAUGAGCUGAAAUACUUUGAAAAAUUGAAAAACAAAUAAGCUCAUAGUAAGGGAGAUAUAAGUAAAAAUAAUAAGUAUAUGUCCUACUACGCGUUACAUGGUUUGACUCUCAUUAGUAGGAGAACAUACUUAUUAGCAGUGAUUGACAUGUCCCCUCUCACAAAAUUAAGGUUUGGAAUCCUGCUUGCAUUGGAUCAGUGACACUUUACAUACUUGAGUCAUUUAUAUUAUUACUCCAUUCUGAACUGAACUAAGUAUGUGGGGAGUUAUACUACUUGUUGAUUUUGUUUUUACAUGCUAUCAAUUGUAUUUUUUAUUAUUAUGUAUUAUUACUCGACUUGGCCUUAAUGUAUGUCCCUUCAGCAUUUGUGACAAAAAGGGGGAGAGAAAUGUGUAACUGAGGGGGAGAAAAAAAUAAUGAUUGAGCAUACACAUAGGAGAGCUACUACAUUUGCAAUGUGCUCGUGAUUUUAUUUAUUGACAUUACUUGCAUUACAUUGCUAUGUUUAGGGGUCGUUGGGGAGAGACAUAAAUACAUUUACCUACUGCAUAAAAACAUGAAAGCUUGCAGUAAGGGGGAGCGUUGCAUUGCAUUCUAUAUCACAUCCAUCUGUUUGAGUUUUGAUGUUUAGUUGUGUUGGUGUCUUGGUGGUGUUUUGAUUGGCAUCAAUGUCACGUCUCAAACUAUUAUGUUGAUUUGUGAUUAAGAGCUUUAAUUAAUUUUUAUAUUUCCUAUAUCACGUACUAUUACACUGGGUAUAUGAGUUUGUGGAUUUCAGGAAACAGAUAUACGAAAGAAUGCAAGACUCGGUGAUUAGGUUUACUGGGUAGUUUAGUUUUUGGUUGUCAAGUCCUGACUUAUUUUUUUAUUGUCUUGACUUCAUUUGUAGAGUUUUGUCACAGAAUGCCAAAGGGGGAGUUUGUUAGGUCUAAAAGUAUAAUUGGUGAUUCUGUGGACAAAACGGACUAAAUUGUAUAAUUGUAAAAGUCAGGGACUUAGGGUGCAAUUUGUAUAGAUGAGGUAAAUUAAUAUUCGAGUCGCUGAAAGUAUCCAAGAUGUCCAAGAAGAUCACACAAGAUCAUCGGAAUGCAAUUGGAAGUCUAAAGGAUAUUAAAGAGCCGCACAAAUUAUGUUCCGAAUUUUCAGUCAUAACUUGCAACGCAUUUUUCACAUAGGAAAAUUUGGAAUUUGGACAAGGCUACUUCUAGAGGAAUUGUAUCUCUUUGAGUUAUAUUUUUAACACAAUUUGAAUCACC
rnacentral:lncRNA from 1 species